GAGAAACAGGACAACGUUACGGCUCUGAACCGCCCGGCUGCGCCGCCUUACCCCCGGGGGGGCAUUAAACACCCAGCUCAGGCCGAGGAUUAAAGUGCGAAGUUUGACCCCAAAUUUGAACACUAUUCGCAGGCAUUGAUGGGGCAGCUUCUCUUCUCAGGUCCUCAAAGAGAAGAGAGGUGCAUUGAAAAUGUGAUGGGAAUGAUGGGGAAUUUUGAGGACAAAAGGCCCAGGCUGUCACUCCCCCGGGCACGCUGUGGUUGUGCUCUGUGUGGAAGCUGGGUGCUGAUCUGCAGAUCCCACAGCGAGGGAGAAGACGAUGGAGACGUGAUGUGAUGUUCGGCUGAAAUGUUGGACCAAGGCCCUGACUACGCCAUCAUUAAUGAUCCUGUAGCACUGCUCAUUAGAUGGGAGUGUUAACCCAGGUGUCCUGGCUAAAUUCCACUCUGGCUUUGCACAAUCUGGCCUCCCUUAAUUCAACUGAUGUUCUAUCUUAUUACUCCUCCCCCUGAGCCUCUGUGCAGUGGGGCUGCUGGUGCAGAAUGGUCGCUGUGUGUCUCCUGGUGGGGCUGCUGGUGCAGAAUGGCUGCAGAGAGGCCCUACUGUCUCGUCUAGUUCCCUAACUCAGGAAUCAAAGGGUUCCAGGAAACUAAGGAACACUUCAGACUUAAUUCCUAGAAUUGAAAAAUUAGAAUAAAGUCCUGUAAUUAAAGAUAAUUCCACAUCUCUGUUCCCUUAGCUAUUUUAAACUGCAAGAUUUUUUUAUUACUUGGAUGACUUCCUAACAAAACAGAGAAAUUUGUCAUUCCAUGAAUACAGCCAGCUGUAGCCUUUGGCAAUUGCAUAUUGUGAUUAUGCUGUUUAUUAGCUCUGAUAAAAUGCAUGAAAUAGUUUUAAAUGUCACUGGAAACCUCCCCCUUUUUAAGUACAUAUUUAAGUCAGUUUU